GACGAACGCUGGCGGCGUGCUUAACACAUGCAAGUCGAACGGAAAGGCCCUGCUUUUGUGGGGUGCUCGAGUGGCGAACGGGUGAGUAACACGUGAGUAACCUGCCCUUGACUUUGGGAUAACUUCAGGAAACUGGGGCUAAUACCGGAUAGGAGCUCCUGCUGCAUGGUGGGGGUUGGAAAGUUUCGGCGGUUGGGGAUGGACUCGCGGCUUAUCAGCUUGUUGGUGGGGUAGUGGCUUACCAAGGCUUUGACGGGUAGCCGGCCUGAGAGGGUGACCGGCCACAUUGGGACUGGGAUACGGCCCAGACCCCUAGGGGAGGCAGCAGGGGGGAAUAUUGCACAAUGGGCGGAAGCCUGAUGCAGCAACGCCGCGGGGGGGAUGACGGCCUUGGGGUUGUAAACCGCUUUCGCCUGUGGCGAAGGGUGGGUGACGGGAAUGGGUAAAGAAGCACCGGCUAACUACGU
rnacentral:rRNA from 1 species